GAUAUAUAAAAAGCUGUUACAUGCCUUUCUCAUAAGGUCCCGCCUGUUAGCAAUGCUAAUAUUAUUUAGCGAACGACUUCAUUAAAUGAUUCACUAUGAAAAAACUGUUUUAUCAAUGUACUUUUAGGGAGGAACUUGUCAACAAAUCUACCUCACAGCGCAUCAAUGAAAGCAGUUUGGCAAUUACAGACGGGCGUGUUGGAUCAGGGUUAGAUCUGAAUUCUGCAGGUUUUCUGGAUUCCCAGUUGAAGACAUCAGUACAUCAGAUGUUGGCCUGGACAGCUGUAUCUACAGUACACCACACUGACCUCUGCUUUUGCAUAGAAAGUUCCAAAGCAAAAUCACCAACAUUAAUUAUUUCCUUAAUAAUCAUUACUAGAUUAAUAAUCACAAAAUAGCUAUUUUUAUUUUAUCUUUGUUGUUAUUAAUAUGAAUCAAUGCAAAAAAUAUAUAUAUAUAUAUAUAUAUAUAUAUAUAUAGAUAUAUAUAUAGAUAUAUAAAAAGCUGUUACAUGCCUUUCUCAUAAGGUCCCGCCUGUUAGCAAUGCUAAUAUUAUUUAGCGAACGACUUCAUUAAAUGAUUCACUAUGAAAAAACUGUUUUAUCAAUGUACUUUUAGGGAGGAACUUGUCAACAAAUCUACCUCACAGCGCAUCAAUGAAAGCAGUUUGGCAAUUACAGACGGGCAUGUUGGAUCAGGGUUAGAUCUGAAUUCUGCAGGUUUUCUGGAUUCCCAGUUGAAGACAUCAGUACAUCAGAUGUUGGCCUGGACAGGAGGAACUUGUCAACAAAUCUACCUCACAGCGCAUCAAUGAAAGCAGUUUGGCAAUUACAGACGGGCGUGUUGGAUCAGGGUUAGAUCUGAAUUCUGCAGGUUUUCUGGAUUCCCAGUUGAAGACAUCAGUACAUCAGAUGUUGGCCUGGACAGCUGUAUCUACAGUACACCACACUGACCUCUGCUUUUGCAUAGAAAGUUCCAAAGCAAAAUCACCAACAUUAAUUAUUUCCUUAAUAAUCAUUACUAGAUUAAUAAUCACAAAAUAGCUAUUUUUUAUUUUAUCUUUGUUGUUAUUAAUAUGAAUCAAUGCAAAAAAAUAAUAUAUAUAUAUAUAUAUAGAUAUAUAUAUAGAUAUAUAAAAAGCUGUUACAUGCCUUUCUCAUAAGGUCCCGCCUGUUAGCAAUGCUAAUAUUAUUUAGCGAACGACUUCAUUAAAUGAUUCACUAUGAAAAAACUGUUUUAUCAAUGUACUUUUAGGGAGGAACUUGUCAACAAAUCUACCUCACAGCGCAUCAAUGAAAGCAGUUUGGCAAUUACAGACGGGCGUGUUGGAUCAGGGUUAGAUCUGAAUUCUGCAGGUUUUCUGGAUUCCCAGUUGAAGACAUCAGUACAUCAGAUGUUGGCCUGGACAGGAGGAACUUGUCAACAAAUCUACCUCACAGCGCAUCAAUGAAAGCAGUUUGGCAAUUACAGACGGGCGUGUUGGAUCAGGGUUAGAUCUGAAUUCUGCAGGUUUUCUGGAUUCCCAGUUGAAGACAUCAGUACAUCAGAUGUUGGCCUGGACAGUAGGGCUGCACGAUAUUGGAAAAAACUCACAUUGCGAUAUUUUGUAUUUCUGCGAUAUAUAUUGCGAUAUGAAAAAAAAAAAAACUUGAAAAGCUCUAUUUGGAAAAAAUAUUGUAGAUGAGUAAAUCAGCAUAGAAAAUGAACAAAUUACAAACAUAGAUAAAUAUAAUAGAACAAAGAUAUAAAAUAAAUAAACAGUGCUUUAUAUUUUUUCCAGUAAGUCUAACAGUAUUCAGGUAUACUGGUUGAAUAAUCAAAUGUAAAAUAACACUGUAUAAAUUAAAUCUAAUAAAUCUGUUAAAGCUACAAAAGUGAUUUUUCUCUGUGUUUUGCUGUUUGAUUAACAUUCAUGACACUGAAAGCCUUAGGAACAUUAAACUGCUGUGAGCCUAUACUAUCCAUUUUCUUUAUCAAUUUUUUACCUUCACCUAAGCCAUAAGCAACUGUGUUUACAAGGAAACUUGCAGAGACAUGCAUUUUGACAGUUUCGCGCGUAUGUGUCAUUUCAGGCACAAAUAGACACGGAACUGAAUGGAAUUCAGUGUUCACAUAUAUCUGAGUGGCUCUCACCGUGUCUACAAAGGGCGCUGGCAAAAUACAAUAGAACCCAUUAUAAUCAGUGAUGCCGUCUACACUGGAUGCGGCGCGACACGGCAAAUCCUUGCGAGGAAAUCCCUCAUUCUUUUUAUGACGUACUGACACAAAGUUCAAAGGAUUUGCAACGGUCGCUUUUUCGCGUCCAGUGAAGACAGUGCGUCGCGGGGUGGCGUGAUGCGAUAGCUGUCGCGAAAACGAUCAGUAUAAAUAUAACGGUCAGUAUACUAAAAAUCGCACAUUCUGCGAUGUGACUAUCGCGGAUGUGCAUAUCGCGAUAUCGAUGCUGAAACGAUAUAUCGUGCAGCCCUACUGGACAGCUGUAUCUACAGUACACCACACUGACCUCUGCUUUUGCAUAGAAGGUUCCAAAGCAAAAUCACCAACAUUAAUUAUUUCCUUAAUAAUCAUUACUAGAUUAAUAAUCACAAAAUAGCUAUUUUUUUAUUUUAUCUUUGUUGUUAUUAAUAUGAAUCAAUGCAAAAAAAUAAAAUAUGAGAUGAGAGGUGGUGGUGGGUGGGGGUUUGGCACUAUGACCCAUUUUUUUAAUCUUGGUGAUACAUUUAUUCACCAGUGUUUUGUCUGCUUUAUACCUAA